ACCUUUUGUAUAAUGGGUCAGCGAGUUACUUUCAGUGGCGAGGUUAACUGAAUAAGGGAGCCGUAGAGAAAUCGAGUCUGAAUAGGGCGAUAGUCGCUGGGAGUAGACCCGAAACCGGGCGAUCUAGCCAUGUGCAGGAUGAAGGUUGGGUAACACCAACUGGAGGUCCGAACCGGGUAAUGUUGAAAAAUUAUCGGAUGACGUGUGGCUAGGAGUGAAAGGCUAAUCAAGCCCGGAGAUAGCUGGUUCUCCCCGAAAGCUAUUUAGGUAGCGCCUCGUGAAUGAUUACUGGGGGUAGAGCACUGUUUCGGCUAGGGGGCUGUCAUGGCUUACCAAACCGAUGCAAACUCCGAAUACCGGCUAAUUGGAUCACGGGAGACACACGGCGGGUGCUAACGUCCGUCGUGGAGAGGGAAACAACCCAGACCGCCAGCUAAGGUCCCCAAGUACUAGUUAAGUGGGAAACGAUGUGGGAAGGCAUAGACAGCCAGGAGGUUGGCUUAGAAGCAGCCACCCUUUAAAGAAAGCGUAAUAGCUCACUGGUCGAGUCGGCCUGCGCGGAAGAUGUAACGGGGCUAAAACUAGUCACCGAAGCUGCGGAUGUGCGCGAAGGCGCACGUGGUAGGGGAGCGUUCUGUAGGCUGAUGAAGGUGCAUUGAGAAGUGUGCUGGAGGUAUCAGAAGUGCGAAUGCUGACAUGAGUAACGAUAAUGUGGGUGAAAAGCCCACACGCCGGAAGUCCCAGGUUUCCUGCACGACGUUAAUCGGAGCAGGGUGAGUCGGCCCCUAAGGCGAGGCUGAAGAGCGUAGUCGAUGGGAACCAGGUUAAUAUUCCUGGACUUUUUAUAAGUGGUGAAGUGGGGACGAAGAAGGCUAGGUGAGCCAGGCGUUGGUUGUCCUGGUACUUGCAUGUAGGGGGGAAGACUUGGCAAAUCCGGUUUUCCAUAACUCUGAGGUGCGAAGUGGUUCUGACCUUUUGGUACAGAGAAGUCAUUGAUGCCCGGCUUCCAGGAAAAGCUGCUAGCCAUAACUUAUAGAGAACCGUACCGCAAACCGACACAGGUGGACAGGUAGAGAAUACUAAGGCGCUUGAGAGAACUCGGGUGAAGGAACUAGGCAAAAUGGUACCGUAACUUCGGGAGAAGGUACGCCCUUUUGGGUGAAGGCAUUUACUGUCUGAGCUUAAGAGGGCCGCAGAGACCAGGUGGCUGCGACUGUUUAUUAAAAACACAGCACUCUGCAAAUUCGUAAGAAGACGUAUAGGGUGUGACGCCUGCCCGGUGCCGGAAGGUUAAUUGAUGGGGUUAUCUUCGGAGAAGCUCUUGAUCGAAGCCCCGGUAAACGGCGGCCGUAACUAUAACGGUCCUAAGGUAGCGAAAUUCCUUGUCGGGUAAGUUCCGACCUGCACGAAUGGCGUAACGAUGGCCACACUGUCUCCACCCGAGACUCAGUGAAAUUGAAAUCGCUGUGAAGAUGCAGUGUACCCGCGGCUAGACGGAAAGACCCCGUGAACCUUUACUAUAGUUUUGCACUGGACUUUGAUGAUGACUGUGUAGGAUAGGUGGGAGGCUGUGAAGUGAGGACGCUAGUUCUCAUGGAGCCGCCCUUGAAAUACCACCCUGUUGUUAUUGAGGUUCUAACUUGGUCCAGUAAUCCUGGAUGAGGACAGUGUAUGAUGGGUAGUUUGACUGGGGCGGUCUCCUCCCAAAGAGUAACGGAGGAGCACAAAGGUACCCUCGGUACGGUCGGACAUCGUACCAAGAGUGUAAAGGCAAAAGGGUGCUUGACUGCGAGAGUGACGGCUCGAGCAGGAACGAAAGUUGGUCUUAGUGAUCCGGUGGUUCUGAAUGGAAGGGCCAUCGCUCAACGGAUAAAAGGUACUCCGGGGAUAACAGGCUGAUACCGCCCAAGAGUUCAUAUCGACGGCGGUGUUUGGCACCUCGAUGUCGGCUCAUCACAUCCUGGGGCUGAAGCAGGUCCCAAGGGUAUGGCUGUUCGCCAUUUAAAGUGGUACGCGAGCUGGGUUUAGAACGUCGUGAGACAGUUCGGUCCCUAUCUGCCGUGGGCGUAGGAAAAUUGAGAGGAGCUGCUCCUAGUACGAGAGGACCGGAGUGGACGAACCUCUGGUGCACCGGUUGUCACGCCAGUGGCAUGGCCGGGUAGCUAAGUUCGGACGGGAUAACCGCUGAAAGCAUCUAAGCGGGAAGCCUCCCUCAAGAUGAGUUUUCCCAUGAAGCCCGUUGAAGACUACGACGUUGAUAGGCAAGGUGUGGAAGCGCAGUAAUGCGUGAAGCUAACUUGUACUAAUUGGCUGAUUGUCUUGACCA
rnacentral:rRNA from 1 species